GACGAACGCUGGCGGCGUGCCUAAUACAUGCAAGUCGAGCGAAGUUUUUCUGGUGCUUGCACUAGAAAAACUUAGCGGCGAACGGGUGAGUAACACGUAAAGAACCUGCCUUAUAGACUGGGACAACUAUUGGAAACGAUAGCUAAUACCGGAUAACAGCAUUAACUGCAUGGUUGAUGUUUGAAAGUUGGUUUUGCUAACACUAUGAGAUGGCUUUGCGGUGCAUUAGCUAGUUGGUGGGGUAAAGGCCUACCAAGGCGACGAUGCAUAGCCGACCUGAGAGGGUGAUCGGCCACACUGGGACUGAGACACGGCCCAGACUCCUACGGGAGGCAGCAGUAGGGAAUCUUCCGCAAUGGGCGAGAGCCUGACGGAGCAGCGCCGCGUGAGUGAAGAAGGAUUUCGGUUCGUAAAGCUCUGUUGUUAGGGAAGAAUGAUUGUGUAGUAACUAUACACAGUAGAGACGGUACCUAACCAGAAAGCCACGGCUAACUACGUGCCAGCAGCCGCGGUAAUACGUAGGUGGCAAGCGUUGUCCGGAAUUAUUGGGCGUAAAGCGCGCGCAGGUGGUUUAAUAAGUCUGAUGUGAAAGCCCACGGCUCAACCGUGGAGGGUCAUUGGAAACUGUUAAACUUGAGUGCAGGAGAGAAAAGUGGAAUUCCUAGUGUAGCGGUGAAAUGCGUAGAGAUUAGGAGGAACACCAGUGGCGAAGGCGGCUUUUUGGCCUGUAACUGACACUGAGGCGCGAAAGCGUGGGGAGCAAACAGG
rnacentral:rRNA from 1 species